UAAAAUUUCAAAAAAGUGCAUUAGAAAAAAACCUGGACAGGAUUAACACAUACCAGAGGCUAAAGUAAUACUCACAAUUAUCUUGCUGGAAAAGAAAAAAUAAACACAAUUAUCUGAAUAAAACCAGAACUCGCAGUGCUUAGAUAGGAGGCAUACCAAUUUGGAUUUGAAUGAGUUACCAAUUCAGUGCUCGGAUAUCUACUUAAGCUGUCAAAACAUUACAUGCUGUGGAAUAUAGUAUAUAUAUUAGAUGGGUCAGAUUUAGGCCAUUUCCUUCCCACAUAUGAAAUAGGAGGUGGUUAAGUAGUGCCCGGAUUUUAAGCUUGUUCAUGGCCUCCCAUAAUCCUAUUCUCAAGUCAUGUGGUAGGAGCCAGAAGAGGAACAGAAGGAAUCAGGAGGAGCAAUUCAUAUGCUUUGUUGUAACUGCCUAUCAGCCUGAUUUUCUCAAUGCUUUCCUCUGACAGAAGCCCUGACAACCAGGCGUGAUAUACAGCAGAUGACUUAAUCACUUGACCACAUCUCAUACUCCAGAUGUUGCCUGAGGUUCUCAUGGACUUGCUACAAGCUGUUGCAGUCUCUCUGCUACUCUGUAACCUCACGUGCUUAGCCCUUCAUCUCUGGGAGGUCUUUCUGGAAAACAAGCCCACCAAAAGGUACAUUCUUCAACUGCAAACACAGCUGCAUGAGAUCCCUCGUGUGUCUGAACUGCUUCCAGCACAGAAAACACUUUGCAAAUUCUCUGCAAAGAGAUUUACCACAGGAUACAAGGGUUUGAAUGCAACUCUUGAGCAUGUGUGUUUGGAAUAGGAUGGGUUUAUCCUUUGACAGGUCAGAAGAAGAACAAUAAACUUUAAAGACAGGCAUAUAAUUUAUGUUUGGACAUCUGGCUCUGUCAUGUGCUGUGAAGCUGAUUCUCAAUUGGGAAGCAAAGAGGCAAAAUUCACCCGAACCAGAAGGGUAACAAAGAAUAUGACUCAGAAAAGAACUUGUGUCUGUGUUUGCAUACUGCUUUUACUGGAACUUGCUUAAACACUGCCAAAUCAGGACUAAAAGCCACUGAAACUGACAGGCACUUCACCUCUACAGGGCUACCUACAUAAUUACACUAAUACCUUAUAAGAGAUUUAUUCCCCUCCUGAGGUAUGCAUUUUCCCUGGUGUUUUAGCAAAGCCUAUGACAGACAUUAUGAUGUGUUAAGUGAACUGCCAAAGAUCCAAAAUAGUUCCAGAUAACAAAGAACACUUUUUCUUUAACGUGCUUUAGAGGAGUAAAAUAAAUAUAUCUGGCAAUUUAAGAGCACCAGCUGAAGUGUUUAUGAAGUUGUACAUGAGCUAUUUGAUUGUAACAGUGUUUAAUUGUAAUUUAGUGGUCUUAUUCACAACCUUCUUGUAUUUUUUUAUGACUUGUUUCUUAUGAGACUGAGCAGUUCACAGUGCUGUGACACUGGGUUACAACAUCACGCAACAAACUGAGAUCUACCUUUUGUUGCUUUAUUUGAUGGGCCAUUUUCUUACGGAGUUCUAGGAAUCAUUUUUCACAAGUACAGACAAGUAUCGGCCUUAUUCAGCCGCCUUAGAGAAACACAGAAGCUGGCUGAGGAAAGUUCCAUUGAGGGUACUGCAAUUGCAAACUGUAGCCAUUAGCUAUUCACUUCCAGAAGAACGCGGAGAUGUAACUAUGGCACAGAUACUGCUAAUAAACAUACCAGAACUUACUCCUCCCAUCAAAUAGCAUUGAAAACAGUUGUCCGUCUUGCAUGACCAAGGUUAGAUAAGUUCAGCACCUGUUGCAGCAAAAUGUGGUAAGUGUUGAGCAUGUUUUCCUAAAGCAGGUGUUGAACUCCCUUGACCCUAUUCACAACAGCUGGACAAAUGGACCGCUGUUCUUCUUCAACAAAGGGUGCAUGUGUGAUCUUGACAUACAGUUGUUUCCAUGAUUUUAAGGAAGCUGAAGAGUAAUGUCUGCUGUUUGCAGCUUAAAAAUUGAGAACUCGUUUGAUAAAGUGGGAAUCAGCCCUGAACACUUUCUCUAAGUUAAACUUGAACUUUAAAAGGAUUGUGAUUGACUAAUUUAGAUUAUUAAUUUAGAUGAUGCCUUUUACAAGGAAACCAGCUCCUAUUCUCUCUGCUGAAGCUCUUUUUUUCAGCCAUCUGGAAACCCAUAGCUGACCUCUUCCUUAAACAUCUCCAGAUGCACUUGUUUUUCAACCUCAACUACUUUUGAAAUCUUUGGCACCCUAACCUCUGUAAUACCAUUCAGCACAAAGAUACUGCUUUCUAUAAGAGUUGUUUCUUGGACAUUUAUAUUGGACAGGCUUCCUUUAUUUCAUACCAGUUCCUUCAGGAAGUGUAAGAGAUUUUUUCCCACUUUAUAAUGUGUUGGCAGUGCAAUGAUAGCGUACUGAGUAAGAAGGUGUAUCAGGGUAGAUGUUUUGCUUUUGAUUUAGGCCUCAAUUCCUCCCAAGCUAAUCAUGUCACCCUUUCCACAGAGAGACAAUACCAUUUUUUGUAAUGUCUUUCAAUGGAAGUUAGUAACUGUGUUGUUCACAAAGUAGAUGCUUGGCUCAAUAGACAAGUUACCCCACCCAUUUAAAGAGUUAAAGUAUAUUAUUAUAUUAAAGUAUAUUAUAAAUACAAAAUUAUACUGGAGAAAAGAAAACAAACAAACAAAAAUGUCAAAAGCCCACAGCUGUAUAUAAACAUAAAACAGUAGUUCUUUAACCUGUUUUCAAAUCAUUAAUACGUUAGCAUUUAUUUGCAAGCAUGAAGUUAGAAGAGCUGCAAAGUGCACAGCAGUGUGUAAUAAUGUUCACAUACAGACAUAUAAAAAUACAGCUAAAGACAAAUGCUCCUAAGAUAUUAAAAGAACAGAAAUACAGUUCCCAAAGCAAACAAUAUUUUAUGGAGUGAAGCUAAUUAAUGCUCUCUUAUUCUAUUUCUUGUGUUCUCCUUGCCCCUAACUACUCACUUGAGAUACAUGGGAAAGUAAUUUUAAUUUCAUUGAUUAAUUUCAUGAAUACCCACUGUGAGCCAUAUCUAAAAAUGAGUUCCUUCAGAAAAUAGAUUAUCAUGAGCAGAGAAUUGCUACUGUAUUUUUCAGCAAGAUGGGGGUUUGAAGUCAGCGCAAUGUGUGGUCUCUCUCUCUCUUCAUACAACUUACCAAGACUGAAAGACCCUUUUUCUGACACUGGCUGUGUGAUUUCAAUCAUGUACCUAAGUUCUGUGUCUGUAAAUGGUGUAUAUAUGUAGAGCAGAAAAAAAUAAUAAAACCCUGCAUAGACUGUAAUGCACUGACUGCAGUCUUUGCAAGCAGGCUCAUAAGUGCUCACCAACGACUGUACACCCAAAGUUAAAUGUGUG
ensembl:lncRNA